UCCAGACUCCUACGGGAGGCAGCAGUGGGGAAUAUUGGGCAAUGGGCGCAAGCCUUACCCAGCAAUACCGCGUGAGUGAAGAAGGUCUUCGGAUUGUAAAGCUCUUUGAUCAGGGACGAACAGAUGACGGUACCUGAAGAACAAGCCCCGGCUAACUACGUGCCAGCAGCCGCGGUAAAACGUAGGGGGCGAGCGUUGUCCGGAUUUACUGGGUGUAAAGGGGGCGCAGACGGCAGCGCAAGCCAGGAGUGAAAGCCCGGGGCCCAACCCCGGGACUGCUCUUGGAACUGCGCGGCUGGAGUGCAGGAGGGGCAGGCGGAAUUCCUGGUGUAGCGGUGAAAUGCGUAGAUAUCAGGAGGAACACCGGUGGCGAAGGCGGCCUGCUGGACUGCGACUGACGUUGAGGCCCGAAAGCGUGGGGAGCAAACAGGAUUAGAUACCCGAGUA
rnacentral:rRNA from 1 species